rnacentral:lncRNA from 1 species
UUUAACUUCCUAUUUAAGCCCGUUCGUCUCCCAAUCACUGUUCACACCGUCUUGCAAAGAGCUUUUUAGAGAGAGAAAAUGUGCGACUACUGCGUUUUGCCAUUUUCGACGCUGGAUCUGUUUUUAACGCUAGUUCUGAACUUGCUUUUUCGAUCGACGGCCACUUUCUUUCAUUUAGCACUAUAAGUCUUUGAUUACAAAUCUUUUUUUCUUUUUUCUUUUUUCUUUUUUCUUUCUAUUCGUUGAUUUUUUGUUCAUGAGGUGUGUUUUCCUUUGUGGAUUUCUUCUGCUAUUUUUGAAGUUUUUUGGCUUCCUACUGCGUCUGGAUUGUUGCUUUUUUUUGUUUGUUGUUUUAUUGAGUCAAUUUAUAGUUCCUCGUCGACCAUUAUCGGGCAGUUGUAGACUUUGUUGUCCCGAUUUUUUGACCCAUUUUUAGACUUUGAGGGUUAGGAUCCUUCCUUCAAACACGUCUACUACUAGGGUUAGCUUAGAGUGGCAGUAGGGUUUGAUUACUGCUCUGUUUAAAUGACACAAAUGCCUCAGUGUACCCUGGGACGAGCUUCCAAGCUUGCACCAAGCUCAGUUGACUCUUCCCUUAGGCAAAACUCAUUGACUUGUCUGACCGCAUGAGAAAACACUCCUCCGAUCUGAAAUAGGCAAACCAGAGGGCCCAUUCUUUUGAGGGCGAGCUGACACAAGCUAGGCUUGAUCUGGCUAUGGUGGAACUGAUUGCCAUUCAAGCACGCAACGAGUCAGAAGUCGUUCUUGCACAAAUGAACCAUGCCUUGCAAGAGUUAGCCGAGCUCAAGAAGGUGGCUUCUGGGGAAGUGUUACAGAAGGUUUUUGACCGCGGCUUCAACUGAGCUGGGAACUCCUACAAGAAAUAAGCAGCCGAGCUUCGUUUGAGCAUUUUUUUAGGAAGGUUGGCUUGCCUGCCUUAAAGAAGUCGAAAAUCCCUCAAAUCACCUGGCCUCGAAUGCUGCGGCCUCUCCAAUCGAGCCCUUGGAUCCACCCGCGGUUUACUUAUUGCUCAUUCUGUCGGGCUUCAAUGAAGAGGAAUAUAUGAAUUAGUAGAUGAGGAGAGAGUUGCUACUGUCAGGGAGGUCAGCAUGAUUCAGGGCAAUGAGCUCGGUAGAGGUGGAUGAGCAGAUGUUGAGGGGGCUGAGGGGGAAUGCAUCGAUGAAGGAAACCCGAGUACCCUGCCGGAAGAGUAGUGUAUUUUGACACUCUUUUUGAUUUUUGCUCCACAAUGUAGUAUUCUUGAUUUUUGGACAAUUGUUACUGUAAAGCUACUUUAAACUCGUACAGUUCUUUCUAUCUUUAGCUUGUUAAUGUAAUAUCUUUCACUUUUAAACAUUUAUCAUUUUUACGCGAACAUACUUUCAAUUUGUGCGAUGCUUUUUUCCCAGUUCGUUUCAUGCUUUCAUGUCUAUAGCGCAAGUGUAGCUUUAAUUUUCCUGUUUCUCAUGGGAUAAAGCUCGGCUAGCUUUUUCCUAAAUUUCUGCUAAGUGUACUUAGGCAGAGCUCAUAGGACAAAGUUCGGAACUCACGUAGAGCUCGGCUAACUCUUCCUUAAAUUUCUUCUAAUUGUACUUAGGUAGAGCUCAUUGGACAGAGUUCAGAACUCGCGUAGAGCUCGGCUAACUCUUACCUAAAUUUUUGCUAAGUAUACUUUAGGCAAGACUCGUAGGACAGAGUUCGGAGCUCGUGCAUAUCUCGGCUAACUCUCCCUUAAAUUUUUGCUAAGUAUACUUAGGCAAAACUCGUGAGACAGAGUUCGAAAUUCGCGUAGAGCUCGGCUAACUCUCUCUUAAAUUUUUGCCAAGUAUACUUAAAGGAAAAACUCAAGGGACAGAGUUCAAAACUCGCGUAGAGUUCGGCUAACUCUCUCUUAAAUUUUGGUCAAGUAUUCUUAAGGCAAAACUCAUGGGAUGGAGUUGGGAACUUAUGUAGAGAGCUCAUCUAACUCUACCUUAAUUUUUUGCUAAGUAUGCUUGGACAAAACUCGUAGGACAAAGUUCGGAGCUCGGCUAACCCUUCCUUAAACUUUUGCUAAGUAUACUUUGCAAAGUUCGGGGACAUAGUCGGAGCUGGCGUAGAGCUCAACUUAGUGCUCAUUAAAUCUUUACAAAGUAUACUUGGGCAAUAUCCACGGGGGAGAGUUUGGAGCUCGUGAAAAACUCAAUAAACUCUUCCUUAAAUUUUUUUGGAUACGCAUACUUGUGAGCAAGCUUCAUUGGACAUGCGGCGUGGGAGCUACCACAUGCUUGUUCAUAAAGCUUGGGAGGGUGGCUACCCCAUGAAACGAUGCAUUCCAAGUGCAAGCUUGGGUUGCCUUCCCGUCACUUCAGUUGCCUUCUUAAUUGUAGUCGUUUCGCCUUCCUUUUAAUGGCGGUCCAUUUGCCUUCCUCAUUAUUGGCAGUCCGUUUGCCUUCCUUCUGCCAUUAUAAAUUGAGCAGAACCCUUGUUGCUUGGCAUUCAAAAACUUCUAGGUGUGCACGGCUAGCUUGUCUACCUCUGCCUCAAAAAAGUUUGGUAAUAUGAAAACAUAUGAUCAUUCGGAUAGAGUCGCCGUUCAAGGCAACAAACUUUCUAGUUCGCGUAGAUCUCACUUGCACUUUAUUUCCAGUUCGUAAGUUCUCUGCUUUUGUAUUUUGCCUAAGUAUACUUUGGCAAUGUUUAUGGGACACAGCUCAGAGCUCGCAUAGAGUUUAGUUGAUUUUUUUCUAAAUUCUUGCUAAGUAGACUUAGAAAAAUUUCGUAAGACAGAGCUCGAAGCUUACUCAAAGCUCGGUUACUCUUUCCAAAGUUUUUUUGCUAAGUAUACUUUGUUCAAAUUCGUGGGCAGAGCUCGAAGCUUACGUAGAGCUCAACUAACUCUUCCCUAGAUAUGUACUAAGUAGACUUAGGCAAAAUUCGAGGGACAGAGCUUAGAGCUUAGCUAACUCUCUCCAAAGUUUUUUUGUUAUGUAUACUUUGUUCAAAUUUGUGGGGCAAAGCUUGGAGCUCGCGUAGAGCUCGAGUAACUCUUCCCUAAAUUUUUGCUCUUGUCUUGUAUUGCUCAAGCCAAAUAUUUUGGCGGAAAAAUGAAUCUUUGAGUAAGAAAUUUUUUACAAGUAUUUGAUAUACUAGCUCGGUCGAAAAAAUUACAUUUCAAUGGUAGUACUUUUUCAAGUUGUUGAAAUUCCAAAGUCUCGUAGCUUGUUUGCCCGCAAAAUAUUCGAGGUAGUAAGCGCCCUUGCCGGCGAGCUUGACUAUUAGGUCCUUUCCAAUUCGGGCCAAACUUCUCGUCCGCCGGGUCCUUGGUAUUUCCAACAACUUUUCUUAGAAUGAGGUCUCCCGCUGAAAAUUGUUUGUGUUGGACCUUCUGGUUAGUCCGCACAUGAUCUUCCCCUGAGUGUAGUCCGCACAUGUCUUCGUGGAUAUCAAAAAGUACAUCUUCGUCUAGGCUCGGGUGAAUGCACAGCAGGAAAAUUUAAAUGAUUCAUGAAAAGAAAAUGGAGAGGUGGUAAAUGGAAUGAAGCCAAAUGAUAGUAUAGUAAAGAAUCAAAGGGACAUCGUUUGUCUGACGUGGCUCAUGUGAGAUCUUGGAUCAGACUUCCCAUCAUACAGCAUGAACCUCGGUGGUGUGAACUUAUUUGGUAGGUCCAUUCCCUCGAUUUCUCAAGGGAUUGAAGUUUGGUACUUUUGGACUAUCUCUCUCUAUUUGGGUCUAGUCGUGCGGGUUAUCGACCCAACAACAACAAUGAUAACUUUGCUCGAGGCUACCGCCUUUUGGUCAUUAAGCUUAGUACGCAGGUCACAUUCUUUGUUUCAUUUUGCAUUGCGCAUCUCGAGGAGAUCCCUAUCGGAAUCAGCUUGGUCAGGUGAUCCUCUUUGCUUGUUCGAUGUUACUAAUUUGCUAUCCAAGCUAACAUGAGAUCGGUUUUACCUUCUAUCUGACCUUCCCUAGGCGAGAGGGUUGGUCCUCUAAUCCUGUCUUCAAAUUGUCCCGCUUCUGUUGUUAGGACUAACUUCAUCAAUCUAUUGUUAGCAAAAAUUUGCGCCAUUUAGGCUAAUUGAGUUUGCAUGGUUAUGUCCUGGAUAUCUACCCCUCCAUGGAGCAACCGAUUUGGAUUAUGUCAAGAGGUGGCCUUGGCUGUCCUCUAGGCAUCAUUUAGUAGUUUAACCCCUCUGCCCCUAGGAGUUUUGGGUGCAUUAUGAGUCUCCCUAUGAGUUUCUCGACUACCAGAACUGUUGCUACUUUACGAUGCCAUCGAAACUGGCUUUGCGAAUGUCUAUAAUCGAUUUCCCACAAAUGACGCCAAUUGCGGGGGUGUGAGAUUGAGAGAUGGAAGGAAGAAAAUCGUGGAUAGACACUCGCGGUGGUUCUGUGGCGGUGAGGGUGGCUUCAACCAAUCAAUCAACAAUGUCCUAGUUGCAGCACAGAAAUAGUGAGUUCGGCCGCCAGAGCUGUUUCCAAGAAACGGCUCUCCGACGAUCAAGUUAGAAGACCGGAGAAUGUAGAGAGAGAAAGUGUAGGUUUUGCUAGCAAAGAAUGCAUAGCUUUUGGAGAACAAAAGUCCUUCUUAUAUAGCGUAGCUCGGCGCGUACUUCGACGCACCAACUGCCGUAUCAGUAGGUAGGUGGCUGCCCCAACCAUGCCUCUAUAGCUUAGUUGAUAGCACAUCUCUAUACUGUAGAUGCCAUGUUUUAGGUAUGAGGGUUGUCAGAGGAAAUUUCGCCGUGCAACUCAUCAUUUGUGCCCUGACAUACUUCAGGAUCGCUACCGACCGUUGUUUCUCGACGAACCCUUAGCACAAUUGAUCCACCGAGCUUAUUGUACAGCGAUAACUCGGUUAAAACGCUGAUCUUUUAGUUUAGGUGAUGUCUAUGCUUGGCAGUGUUUUGACCUAACUCAGGCGAGCGUCGUACCCCUACCUCGCUUCACAGUGAUUACUCAGAGGUGACUCCAUUUUGUGUGAUCCAAACUCAUAGUUGUCUAUUUUAUCAUCUUAUAA